CACGGGUGAGUAACACGUAUCCAACCUGCCGUCUACUCUUGGACAGCUUCUGAAGGAAGAUUAAUACAAGAUGGCAUCAUGAGUUCACAUGUUCACAUGAUUAAAGGUAUUCCGGUAGACGAUGGGGAUGCGUUCCAUUAGAUAGUAGGCGGGGUAACGGCCCACCUAGUCUUCGAUGGAUAGGGGUUCUGAGAGGAAGGUCCCCCACAUUGGAACUGAGACACGGUCCAA
rnacentral:rRNA from 1 species